rnacentral:rRNA from 1 species
CUUGGUCAUUUAGAGGAAGUAAAAGUCGUAACAAGGUUUCCGUAGGUGAACCUGCGGAAGGAUCAUUAAAGAAUGCCCCGUUUUUUGAAAUGGGUUCUAUUCCCAAACCGUGUAUACAUACCUUUGUUGCUUUGGCAGGCCGCCUUCGGGCGUCGGCUCACGCUGACCGCGCCUGCCAGAGGACCCAAACUCGUUUGUUUAGUGAUGUCUGAGUACUAUAUAAUAGUUAAAACUUUCAACAACGGAUCUCUUGGUUCUGGCAUCGAUGAAGAACGCAGCGAAAUGCGAUAAGUAAUGUGAAUUGCAGAAUUCAGUGAAUCAUCGAAUCUUUGAACGCACAUUGCGCCCCUUGGUAUUCCGAGGGGCAUGCCUGUUCGAGCGUCAUUAUGACCACUCAAGCCUAGCUUGGUAUUGGGGUUCGCGGUCUCGCGGCCCUUAAAAUCAGUGGCGGUGCCAUCUGGCUCUAAGCGUAGUAAUUUAUCUCGCUAUUGGGUCCGGUGGUUGCUUGCCAACAACCCCCAACUUCUAAGGUUGACCUCGGAUCAGGUAGGGAUACCCGCUGAACUUAAGCAUAUCAAUAAGCGGAGGA